GUUCUUAUUUCAUGGUAUAACUUUGGUAUGCUUGGACCUAGAGUCUUCAAACUUGACAUGAAGGUUGGCCAGGAUUAACAGAUGACCACUGGUCAUUUCAAGGUCAUUCAUUUGAAGGUCAAGGUCACUGUGACCUUCAAUAUAAAAAAUGUUAAAGUUGUUAUAACUUUGGUAUGCUUGGACCUAGAGUCUUGAAACUUGACAUGAAGGUUGGCCAUAACUAGUAAGUAACCACUGGACAUUUCAAGGUCAUUCAUUUGAAGGUCAAGGUCACUGUGACCUUGAAUGUAAAAAUGUUAAAGUUGUUAUAACUUUGGUAUGCUUGGACCUAGAGUCUUGAAACUUGACAUGAAGGUUGGCCAGAACUAGUAAGUAACCACUUGACAUUUCAAGGUCAUUCAUUUGAAGGUCAAGGUCACUGUGACCUUGAAUGUAAAAAUGUUAAAGUUCUUAUUUCAUGUUAUAACUUUGGUAUGCUUGUACCUAGAGUCUUCAAACUUGAAAUAAAGAUUGGCCAGUACUAGAAGAUGACCACUGGUCAUUUCAAUGUCAUUCAUUUGAAGGUCAAGGUCACUGUGACCUUCAAUGUUAAAAUGUUAAAAUUUUUAUAUGCAUUCAAAACAUAACACAAGGUUUGCUCAUGCCUUGAAAAGUACUUACAUUUCAUUUUGACCUUUGAACAAUAUUUCAGUAAUUUAAGUAUUGCAUUGACAAAAACACGAAAGGUACUUUCCUGUCAUUUAAAUCAAAAAUCCGGCUUCAAUGCGGUCAUCUCCGACCGCGGAACUCUUGUUUCUUUUGUUUCACUAAAUUCUUAGAAGAUUCUGAGAUUGUUCAAUAAUGCAAUGAUAAUAGAACAAUACAAAGUGUAAUUAAUUAACAGGAAUUUUUUUCAUUUAUUUGCAAAUUUCUUUAAACCUUAAAAAUGUAAUUGUUUGUCUAUUAAAAUAAUAUCUAAAAAAGUACUUUAGUGUAAAUGUAAACAUUCCAGCCUGUUAGAUAAUCCAAAAUAGAAUUUAAUUUCCUCUUUUCUUAAGUUCCUCUUGUCUCUCCUACCUCCAUGUGUUCAAUACUUUGCUAUAGCAGAUCAGUGAACAAUGAAUUUGCAUGAAUCCUCAGCAGUUGAUUGCUUAUAACCCUUUACCACUUAGUAGCAAAGUGAAAAUGGCUAUGUGCAAACAUCAUAAAACCAGAACAGCGUGCGAGUAACUCACUGUCUGUUCAGGUUUAAUGCUGUUUGCUGCUCAUCAGUAUCUAAGGUUUGAAGUUGAAGCCUUAAAAACUUGAAUCUGGUGAGAAAAGUCCUUAAUUAAAUUGAACUUUCUAAGGGACAACAAUUGCAUCAAAAUAUGUAUCUAUGUGGUUAAGGGACAAAGCUUGUAAUUUCCAGAUACAAGAAAAGAAACAAAUCUGCACAAAAGCAACCAUUUGCAUCUCCAAGUUUGCAAUUUGUAAACAUGGCUGGAGUAUAGGGUUUUUCUAGCCAUUUUGGGCAAAGGAGUCUGGUCAAAUUGGGAUAUUUUUAAUUGAUAAAAGUGGUAAAUUUUGAAAAAAUUUAUCGAUAAAAAGUACCAAAUUGGGAUUUUUUUAUCAACAAAUAUUGGCACAACAGGGAUUUUCCUGGUCAUUUGGGGAAAAAAGCAUAUAAAUUAUAGUUAUAUAUUUUGUAGCAUGUUUAAAAAAUAAAGUUGAGAAAUAGAGUCUAAUAAUCAGAAGUCAUAAGUGACUUUCUAAUAAAAAAUAUAUAUAUUUAUCUUUUUUUAUACGCCCGUUUUUAAAAACGAGACGUAUUAUAGUUUCACCCUUGGCGGGCGGGGUUUACAGCAGUGUCCACUCUCUAAUUCAAAUAGUUUUCAUCCGAUCUUCACCAAACUUGGUGAGAAGUUGUGUCUAGACAAUAUCUAGGUCAAAUUCGAAUAUGGGUCAUGCCGGGUCAAAAACUAGGUCACGGGGUCACUUAGUGCAUUUCAAGGAUUAAGCAUGGUGUCCGCUCUCUAAUUGAAGUAGUUUUCACCGAUCUUCACCAAAUUUGGUCAGAAGUUGUGUCUAGAUGAUAUGUAGGUCAAGUUCAAAAAUGGAUCAUGCCGGGUCAAAAACUAGGUCACAAGGUUACUUAGUGCAUUUUAAGCAUUUAGCAUGGUGUCCACUCUCUAAUUGAAGUAGUUUUCAUCUGAUCUUCACCUAAUUUGGUCAGAAGUUGUGUCUAGAUGAUAUGUAGGUCAAGUUCGAAUAUGGGUCAUGCCGGGUCAAAAACGAGGUCACGGGGUCACAUAGUGCAUUUCAAGCAUUAAUCAUGGUGUCCGCCUCUCUUAUUGAAUUAGUUUUCAUCUGAUCUUCACCAAAUUUAGUCAGAUGUUGCAUCCAAAUGAUAUCUAGGUCAAGUUCAAAUUUGGGUCAUGCCGGGUCAAUAACUAGGUCUCGAGGUCACUUAGUGCAUUUCAAGCAUUGAGCAUGGUGUCCAAAACCUUCAAACGGGCGUAUCUUGUGACAGUUUGGCACUCUUGUUUGAAAUUGGGGGAAAAAAAAUUGGUUUGGGAUUGAGUCUGUUUGCUUUGGGAUCAGGUCCAUUUUACGGCCUAUUUUACAUAGCAGAAAAAACCCUGACUUGAGUUUGGCAUUGUGUUGGUCAGUUUAAUGUUUUCUUCAAAUGCGUUAUUGUAAGGUUGGUUCUAAUGUUUUGUGCAUCCUCUGCAGGAGUGGCUGUCAAGUUGAACUGCAACCAUAAAUAUAAUGAAAUUAAAACUUGUAGUAUCGGAUGUGUUUAAUACUUUAUAUUAGCAUUACUCGUGAUGUCACAAUAUAUCACUAUAACAAGAGAACUUUCGAAAUUGUAAAAUCGUUUCAUGUUUGUAAGCUUUUUAAUAUUCAGGUUUUUAAAUUGUCAUAUAUAAUAGAUAUUUUAGAGCAUGUUUAAUGUUCAGCAUUAUUGUUUCCUUGCAAAAUACAUAACUUCAACAAACAUGCAAAUCUGAAACAUUUUUUUAUCAAUUUUGUCAAUUUAUGAAGUAGUGAAAAGUUCCCUUUAAUGUUAUUUAAUUAUUCUAAAUUAGUUUACUUUCAAAUUUUCACUGCCAUUAAAAACUAUGGACAUGCAAGAAAGUUUAUAUGAGCCGCGUUCUGAGAAAACUGGGCAUAAUGCUUGUGCGUAAAGUAUCGUCCCAGAUUAGCCUAUGCUUUGCACAGGCUUAUAAGGGACGACACUUUCCGCUUUUAUGGAAUUUUUCGUUUAAAUGAAGUCUCUUCUUAACAAAUAUCCAAUUUAGGCGGAAAGUGUCGUGCGGACUGCACAGGCUAAUCUGGGACGACACUUUACGCACAUACAUUAUGCCCAGUUUUCUCAGAACACUACUCAUAUUAUGAUCUUUGCAAUACUGAUACAAAUAGUAGAAUUGCAUCAUUGAUUUUUUUGGUUAUUUAAAAAUUUCAAUCAUUGAAGGUAAUAGAUCAACAAAAGUUCCUAUCAAGUUAAUAUCAUGUUUUUAAAUGAAUUAUAUUGAGCAGUAUGGCGAAGAUAUCUUUAUUAUCUUGUAAACAUUUUAUUCCUCUGUUGCUGUCAGUACCUGUUCUUAGUUAAAAUUAUGCCAUCAUUUUUGCCAAUGACCCAAUACCCUUUUUUUCGCAUAUGCUGAAUAAACACUUCAUUCGUACAUUGUUUUCAUUUAAAACCUUAUCUGUGUGGAUACCAUGGUGACCUAAUGUUCCUUAGAUGGUAGAAGAAAAAAAGCACAAUUCCGUAAAACAUUUUAAUAACUUAAGUUUUUUGUAAAGAUCUGAUUUCAUGAUUCUUAUAAUUUCAUGUGAGUGCAUGUUUAUGCGGUGCUCCUUAAAUAAAUGCCUCUUGUCCUGAAUUUGUGAUAAAACUACCAGUUUUUGUUUUUUAUGAGCAUUUAACAUGUGUUGUAAAGCAGUAUAAUUAGUGUGUUGUUACUAUUUGUUAUUAUUCCAUGCCAGAUAUUUUCAUGUGUAUUUGCAUAUCAUGUUUUACCUUUAUUGAUGUUUUAAGAUAAAAACAACUGUAUUGCAUUAUUUUUUUUCGUACAGAAAAUACCUUUAAAAUUCCAUGUGUGAACAUUCCAUUUGUUAUUAUAUUUAAAAGCUAAACACAAUUUUUUCAUGAGAAAAGUGUUUAUCAAUGGCAUAUUAAAUGAUUGACAUAGGGAAAAGCUAUAGAUGAUUCUGGGUUUUGUAACUAUAGAUGGAUCUGGGUUUUGUAACUAUAGAUUUGAAAUAUCAGGGUUUUGUAACUAUAUAAGUAUCCGGGUAUUGUAACUAUAUACUGAUCCAGGUUUUAUUACUCCAGGUUGUGUAACUUGAUAGACAUCUGGCUUUUGUAAAUAUAGACAUAUUUGUGUUUAGUAACUAUAGACAGAACAGGGUGUAGUUACUCUAGAAGGAUUCGGGUUUUGUACUUAUAGAUGGAUCUGGGUUAUGUAACUAUAGACGUAUCCAGGCUUUGUAAUUAUAAACGGAUCCAGGAUUUGCAAUGUAAAGUUAAAACUCCUCCCCAGCUAUUUGUUAAAGGUUUAAUUUUCCAUUUAUCCAGCAUUUUAAUGGAAGUCCCUUUUUACCGAAAAUCUAGUUUAAGCGGAAAGUGUCUUCCCUGAUAAGCCUGUGCAGACUGCACAGGCUAAUCUGGGACAACACUUAACGCACAUGCAUUAUGCCCAGUUUUCUUAGAACAAGACACAUACCCUUAUUGUCCAUACAUAUUACAUUGUCUAUGCAGCACAGAGAAGCCUUUGGUGUGAAUGAUUCCUUCAAUGAGAGUGCAGAUAGGUUCGGGAGGUUUUGUAGGGAUCCCUUUUUCCUGAAAGUCUCUCAAAAUGUCCCUUAAGUCUGUCAAAAUGUCCCUUAAGUUUGUCAAAAUGUCCCUUAAGUCUGUCAAAUUUUCCCGAAAAUUAUUUGGCUGUAAUAUGGGCUGGCCCUUUGUCUUUUUUUAGCGUUAAAAAAUGUAUGAGCCGUUCUCUGUGAAAAAAGGGGUUUAAUGCAUCAGGGGCGACACUUUCCUUCUAAACUGGAAAGGUGCUAAGAAGAGACUUUCUGUUAGUGAAAAAUACCAUAAAAGUGGAAAGUGUUGUCCCUGAUCAGCCUGUGCAGGGUAAUCUGGGACGACACUUUACACACAUGCAUUAUGCCCCCUUUUCACAGGGCACGGCUCAUGUAGUCAAUCUGGCUUUGUCCAAACAAGUGUUGCGGGGACAUCAGUGUCUGAGACACAUUUCUAGUUGUUGUUGAAACAAGGCAUGGCGACUAUAACCUCACCAUGCAUAGCAGAAUUUCGGAAUAACAGGACACAAUGGUUCACCUAUAUGAGAUGGUAUGCCAUUCAUAUAAACUGGGAAAUGUCAUUAUUGGUGAUCAAAAGUUAACAGCGGUAUUUGAGGGUAUUAUUUUAUGUUAAUUAUUGGUCUGGCUGAGACUGCAUUUUGAAACAGGGUACCUUAACCCAUUUAUGCCUAGCAUCUAAAAAAAAGGCCUUGGCAAAUAGCGUAGACCCAGAUGAGUCGCCGCAUGAUGCGGCGUCUCAUCGGGGUCUGCGCUGUUUGCUUAAAGGAAUUUCUGUAAGAAAUAUUCUAAAUAUAGAAAUUAAUAUACUAGACAUCCCUAAUUUUGGAAAUAAAUUGAUCCAAUUUAGAAGGAUGGGUGAGUCAACUAGACAUAAAUGGGUUAAAAAUGUUUUGAUAUUUCCAAUGUGAAAAAGUUUUUUUUACAUAUUGUGCUUUCCACUUUUCCAGUUGGUUACUUUCACAUUUUAUCAGUUUAUAUGAUUUGUCCUUAUAUCUUGUUUAGAUACUAUGUUACAAAAUAAAUAUUAUUCUUGUAUAAAGUUUAUAUUGUGUAAAUGCUUGUAUUAAAGCACAUUUAGAACUGCAUUUAAAAAUCUGAUGUUUUGUUUUUUACCACAGUUUGCUGUUUCCUUGUUUUGUCCUGUGUACUCAGUGAUCAUUUUCUUCUGCAUUUAAUUGAUGUGUUUUAUUGCUGUGAAUAUGACAGUAUUUAAAUUAAUGCAGGGCUUUUAAUGCAAUCUUUAGGGUGUUUAAGCAAACAAAAGUCUUUGCCAGACCAUUAAUGAUGCUAAAAAUAAAUAAAAUUCCUGAAGAUGAUGCAUAAAUCACUCUGCAAACUAAAAUGUCCAUUUCAGUUGACAGAUGUCAUUAUAAAUUGUUGUUUUGCAUUAAACGCAGUUUUGAUGAAUUUUAUUUAGUGGCAUUAAUAAGCCAUUGACCAGCCGUUAUUAAUAAAGAGUUGAAUAUUAUUUUUUAUGCCCCCCUUCGAAGAAGAGGGGGUAUAUUGCUUUGCACAUGUCGGUCGGUCGGUCUGUCGGUCGGUCUGUCGGUUGGUCCGUCCACCAGGUGGUUUCCGGAUGAUAACUCAAGAACGCUUACGCCUAGGAUCAUGAAACUUCAUAGGUACAUUGAUCAUGACUCGCAGAUGACCCCUAUUGAUUUUGAGGUCACUAGGUCAAAGGUCAUGGUCACUGUGACCCAAAAUAGUAAAAUGGUUUCCGGAUGAUAAUUCAAGAACGCUUAUGCCUAGGAUCAUGAAACUUGAUAGGUAGAUUGAUCAUGACUUGCAGAUAACCCCUAUUGAUUUUCAGGUCACUAGGUCAAAGGUCAAGGUCACAGUGACCCGAAAUAGUAAAAUGGUUUCCGGAUGAUAACUCAAGAACGCUUAUGCCUAGGAUCAUGAAACUUGAUAGGUAGAUUGAUCAUGACUCGCAGAUGACCCCAAUUGAUUUUCAGGUCACUAGGUCAAAGGUCAAGGUCACGGUGACCCGAAAUAGUAAAAUUGUUUCUGGAUGAUAACUCAAGAACGCUUAUGCCUAGGAUCAUGAAACUUGAUAGGUAGAUUGACCAUGACUCGCAGAUGACCCCUAUUGAUUUUCAGGUCACAAGGUCAAAGGUCAAGGUCACGGUGAUCCGAAAUAGUAAAAUGGUUUCCGGAUGAUAACUCAAAAACGCUUAUGCCUAGGAUCAUGAAACUUGAUAGGUAGUUUGAUCAUGACUGGCAGAUGACCCCUAUUGAUUUUCAGGUCAAAGGUCAAGGUCGAGGUGACCCGAAAUAGUAAAAUGGUUUCCGGAUGAUAACUCAAGAACGCUUAUGCCUAGAAUCAUGAAACUUCAUAGGUACAUUUAUCAUGACUUGCAGAUGACCCCUAUUGAUUUUCAGGUCAAAGGUCAAGGUCACGGUGACCCAAAAUAGUAAAAUGGUUUCUGGAUGAUAACUCAAGAAUGCUUAUGCCUAGGAUCAUGAAACUUGAUAGGUAGAUUGAUCAUGACUCGAAGAUGACCCCUAUUGAUUUUGAGGUCACUCGGUCAAAAGUCAAGGUCACGGUGACCCAAAAUAGUAAAAUGGUUUCCAGAUGAUAACUCAAGAACGCUUAUGCCUAGUAUCAUGAAACUUGAUAGGUACAUUGAUCAUGACUGGAAGAUAACCCCUAUUGAUUUUCAGAUCACUAGGUCAAAGGUCAAGGUCACAGUGACCCGAAAUAGUAAAAUGGUUUCCCGAUGAUAACUCAAGAAAGCUUAUGGCUAGGAUCAUGAAACUUCAUAGGUACAUUGAUCAUGACUCACAGAUGACCCCUAUUGAUUUUCAGGUCACUAGGUCAAAGGUCAAGGUCACAGUGACAAAAAACAUAUUUACAAAAUGGCUGUCACUACAACUAAGAGCCCAUAUGGGGGGCAUGCAUGUUUUACAAACAACCCUUGUUCUUUAUUUCAUCAGGGUACGAAAUUUAAAAAAAACAACCUCUGGAACUGGUAUAUUAAAUAAUAUUAGGCACCUUGGUGUCAGAGCAGUAUCAUAGUAUAGGUAUAAUGAAACAGUUUAACCGUCUAAAUAUCAUUAUUAUGCCCCCCUUCAAAGAAGAGGGGGUAUAUUGCUUUGCUCAUGUCGGUCUGUCGGUCCGUCCACCAGGUGGUUGUCAGACGAUAACUCAAGAACGCUUUGGCCUAGGAUCAUGAAACUACAUAGGUACAUUGAUUAUGACUCGCAGAUGACCCCUAUUGAUUUUGAGGUCACUAGGUCAAAGGUCACGGUGACCAGAAAUAGUAAAAUGGUUUUUGAAUGAUAACUCAAGAACGCAUACGCCUAGGAUCAUGAAACUUCAUGGGUAGAUUGAUCAUGACUUGCAGAUGACCCCUAUUGAUUUUGAGGUCACUAGGUCAAAGGUCAAGGUCACGGUGACCCAAAAUAGUAAAAUGGUUUCCGGAUGAUAACUCAAGAACGCAUACGCUUAGGAUCAUGAAACUUCAUGGGUAGAUUGAUCAUGACUCGCAGAUGAUCCCUAUUGAUUUUGAGGUCACUAGGUCAAAGGUCAAGGUCACGGUGACCCGAAAUAGUAAAAUGGUUUUCGGAUGAUAACUCAAGAAGGCAUACGCCUAGGAUCAUGAAACUUCAUAGGUAGAUUGAUCAUUACUUGCAGAUGACCCCUAUUGAUUUUGAGGUCACAAGGUCAAAGGUCAAGGUCACGGUGACCCGAAAUAGUAAAAUGAUUUUCGGAUGAUAACUCAAGAACGCUUUUGCCUAGGAUCAUGACACUUCAUAGGUACAUUGAUCCUGACCCGCAGAUGACCCCUAUUGAUUUUCAGGUCACUAGGUCAAAGGUCAAGGCCACAGUGACAAAAAUCGUAUUCACACAAUGGCUGCCACUUCAACGGACAGCCCAUAUGGGGGGCAUGCAUGUUUUACAAACAGCCCUUGUUUCAUAUACUUGUCUUGUACGUGGUUUAAAAAAAAGUGUGCUUACUUAUGUAUGAUAUGCACUGACAUUCAUACAAAUAUGUGAUCAUUCUUAUCGUGCCAAUAAAUCUACAUGUUGUGACUUGAGUAUAAUUUAUGUUUGCCAAAACUCAUAUUUGUCUCGAUUUGAAACAUGACCUUUUUGCUUUUGUUAUAAUACCGGUAUGCAUUGAACAUUUUGAGACUGGUUAGAAUGAAAUAAUUAUUUACUCAAAGUAAUUUGUGAAAACUGGAAUAUUAUUUCCGAUUCUUUCACAUUAUGUUGAUUUUUAUGAUAACAUUGUUGGCAAAUACUUUUUCAAUGGGGAUAUACAUCAUUAUGUGUUACAGAUGUAGUUGUAACCAUUUGACAUAUACACAGCUAGCAAUGCAUGUACAUGGUAUAUUGUCUCUUAGAUGAGUAGUCCUUUGUUUACAAAACAACGCAAGGCAUUUCAUGUAUUAUUAUUGUAAAUAAAAUAAUAAAGAUCAUUACCUUGAUGCUCUUUGGUUUAUAAUGUGUGCCAGUGGCAGUAGUCACAAUGUACCAGGGGAAGUAGUCACAAUGUGCCAGGGGCAGUAAUCACAAUUUGCCAGGGGCAGUAAUCUUAAUGUGCCAAGGGCAGUAAUCACAAUGUACCAGGGGCAGUAGUCACAAUCUGCCAGGGGCAGUAGUCACAAACCUCCUAAACAAAAUCUUAACUUAAGUUGUUCUAAAUUAAAAAUGUCAGUACAAAUUUUGCAUGCAGAAGGUAAUUUUUUCAGCUAUGCUUGCAAAUGGAGAAAAUAUUGUUCCAGCAAAAUUAAAUUUUAUUUAAACAAUAAUUUUAAAAUGCCUAUUCAUGAAACAAGAGAGAUUUAAGGAUUUUAUGACUACGGAAUUUUACUGAACUUUUUCUUAAAGGGUAUUGCCAAUACGCACCCUGGUAUGAUUUGUCCAGGAAUUCUUCCACCUUAGCUUAUGCUUUCAAAUAAAGUUCUUAUGAAGAAUCACUGUUUAUAGUUUUGCUUGUUGCCUUUUCAAUUUAUUUAAUAAAACAACAGAUGCAAAGUCAGCUCAAUCUGUCGCUGUUUAUUCUCAUGAAUGUGAUAUUUUUACAAACAGGGUACUUGUUAAAAGGUUGUUGUGCUUUUUCAUGAUUACAUGUUUGUACAUUUAUAAGAGGCACAUCAUGCAAAAAUGGAUCUUAUACCAGAUUCAGCCUUCGUAGCUCCAGGCCAGCAUGCACAGUAUGGUCAGGAGCUACCCUGUCUGCUUGUCAAACAAAGUUUCAUGGUCUCAUAGGGGGACAGCGUAGCUCCUUACCAGUCUGUGCCAAUAUGCUGGCUGAUCUGGAGCUGCCCUUGUCAAAUAUGCUCUAAGACACAUUUUCCCAUGACAUGGGUCAUAAUUAUGCAGCUACUUUGUAAUGUAUGCAUACUGGUAAUGUUAGAUUUGUUUCAAAAUAAGUCACUACUCUGAUGCCAAUUUUUCAAGGACAAAGUAGUUUGCUGUUUUGCUGAUUUAAUACCUUUACAUUGCAUAUUGUAGUGGCCAAAAUACUGUAAACUGACAGAACUUAACUGUUGUUGAGUGCUAAAUAGGUUUGUAUAGUUUUUGUGUUUGAUAGGCUUGCAUUGUUUAUAAUAGACUGAAUUGUCUCGAUAGUUGCUUUUGGAAGAUUUUUUAAAUUAAAAAAAACUUUAUCAUGCAGACAAUUAUGAAAAAAACAAUAUUGUAUUAUUUGUUGCUGAUUUUUGUUUACUGUGUUUCAAUACAUUGUAGUUACAGUGUAGUUUUUCCAUGUAAUUGAUCAUUUUGUUACUUGUAUUUGUUAAAUCAUGGUAAUUAUAAAUUUUUAAAAUUGCCUUAAUGAUCUUCAAUCAUUGUGUUUGUUGAUUUAUGUUCUUCAUAAUAAAAGAUAUAUUCCAGUGUUAAUAA